rnacentral:rRNA from 1 species
GAUGAACGCUGGCGGCGUGCCUAAUACAUGCAAGUCGAGCGAACAGAUAAGGAGCUUGCGCCUUUGACGUUAGCGGCGGACGGGUGAGUAACACGUGGGUAACCUACCUAUAAGACUGGGAUAACUUCGGGAAACCGGCGCUAAUACCGGAUAACAUUUGGAACCGCAUGGGUCUAAAGUGAAAGAUGGUUUUGCUAUCACUUAUCGAUGGACCCGCGCCGUUUUAGCUAGUUGGUAAGGUAACGGCUUACCAAGGCGACUAUCCGUAGCCGACCUGAGAGGCUGAUCGCCGACACGGGAACUUGGACGGGGUCAAGACGCCUGAGGGAGGCAGCAGUAGGGAACGUUCCGCAGUGGGCGGAAGCCUUGCGGAGCAACCGGGCGUGAGUGAUGGCAGGUCUCGGCUCGUAAAGCUCUGUUAUUAGGGAAGAACAAAUGUGUAAGGAGCCGUGCACGUCGUGACGGUACCUAAUCAGAAAGCCCCGGCUAACUACGUG